GAAGAUUCUCUGGAGUGGCGGCCGACGGAGGAGCGAGAAUGGGGAGGGGAAUCCAUGGGGCUAGUGAGAACAGGAGUAGAGUGAAACGAGGUCGUAGUCUUCUCCCCAUCGUGAGAGUCUCUGGAAGGGCUCUGGACGUAGUAGACCGGGCGGCGAGGAGAUCUGGUCGGAGAAGACGGGGCGAUACUGGUAACUUCGGAGUCGGUUUUAGCGUGCAUUGUUGGAGUUUUCCGGUGGAGCUCUCUGCCGUUUUGGAGAAGGAUUUUGGAAUAGUGUAGAAUGGAAGUUGCAGUGAGUUGAAUCAAGAGAGUGAAAGUGGA
rnacentral:misc_RNA from 1 species